AACGUGCCCUUCUCUACGGAAUAGCCUCUGGAAGCGGAGAGUAAUACCGUAUACGCCCUUUGGGGGAAAGAUUUAUCGGAGAAGGAUCGGCCCGCGUUAGAUUAGGUAGUUGGUGGGGUAACGGCCUACCAAGCCUACGAUCUAUAGCUGGUUUUAGAGGAUGAUCAGCAACACUGGGACUGAGACACGGCCCAGACUCCUACGGGAGGCAGCAGUGGGGAAUCUUAGACAAUGGGGGCAACCCUGAUCUAGCCAUGCCGCGUGAGUGAUGAAGGCCUUAGGGUCGUAAAGCUCUUUCGCCUGUGAUGAUAAUGACAGUAGCAGGUAAAGAAACCCCGGCUAACUCCGUGCCAGCAGCCGCGGUAAUACGGAGGGGGUUAGCGU
rnacentral:rRNA from 1 species